UAUGCCAAGCUCAGCACCACAGAUCCAGCUGCUGAGCUGCAGCUGUGAGAGCACAAAGAUAAUGGCAAUUUCUACACUCAGUACCCAGAAUGCAAAGAAUGGUUCGUAGUCUCACAUUU
rnacentral:snoRNA from 1 species